GUGGGGAAUAUUGGACAAUGGGGGGAACCCUGAUCCAGCCAUGCCGCGUGUGUGAAGAAGGCCUUUUGGUUGUAAAGCACUUUAAGCGAGGAGGAGGCUACCGAGAUUAAUACUCUUGGAUAGUGGACGUUACUCGCAGAAUAAGCACCGGCUAACUCUGUGCCAGCAGCCGCGGUAAUACAGAGGGUGCAAGCGUUAAUCGGAUUUACUGGGCGUAAAGCGCGCGUAGGUGGCCAAUUAAGUCAAAUGUGAAAUCCCCGGGCUUAACUUUGGAAUUGCAUUCGAUACUGGUUGGCUAGAGUAUGGGAGAGGAUGGUAGAAUUCCAGGUGUAGCGGUGAAAUGCGUAGAGAUCUGGAGGAAUACCGAUGGCGAAGGCAGCCAUCUGGCCUAAUACUGACACUGAGGUGCGAAAGCAUGGGGAGCAAACAGGAUUAGAAACCCGAGUAGUCC
rnacentral:rRNA from 1 species